GACGAACGCUGCCGGCGUGCCUAAUACAUGCAAGUCGAACGCAGUGGGGACGGGUGAGUAACACGUGGGUACCCUCCCAUCAGAGGGGAUAACACUUGGAAACAGGUGCUAAACCGAUACUGAUGGCUGGACCCGCGGUGCAUUAGUUAGUUGGUGAGGUAACGGCGCACCAAGGCCACGAUGCAUAGGCGACCUUCGAAGGUGUUCGGCGACAAUAGGAGUGAGACACGGUCCAGACGCCUAAGGGACGCAGCAGUAGGGUAUCUUCGGCAAUGGACGCGAGUCUGACCGAGCAACGCGGAGGGAGGGAAGGAAGUUUCGGGUUCGUAAAACGCUCUGGUAAGUGAAGCGGUAUUCAACCAGAAAGCCACGGCUAACUACGUGCCGGCAGCCGCGGUAAUAC
rnacentral:rRNA from 1 species